ensembl:lncRNA
UGGGAAAUGGGUGUGGGAUUGGGGUUCGGAUGUGGGAUAUGGAAUUAGGGCUGUGGGAUCGGGUUUAUGGUGUGGGAUUGGAAGGUGGGGUUGGGGUUGGGAUAAGGUCUGGGAUAUGGGAUUAGGGAUAUGGGAUUGAGAUUGGGAUGUGGGAUUGGGAUGUGGGGUAUAGGAUUCGGGGUGUGGGAUUGGGAUUUGCAUUGGGAUGGGGGCUGUGAGGUUGGGGUUGAGGUUGGGGUCGGGAUAUAGGAUUAGUGAAUUGGUAUUGGCAUUCCCAUUGGGAUGGGGGCUGUGGGUCUGGGAUGGGGGCUGUGGGGCCGGGAUGGGGGCUGUUGGCCUGGGAUGUUGGGUUGGGAUCGAGGUUAGGAUGUGGGAGAUAGGAUGAGGGGUGUGGGAUUGGGAUUUGCAUUGGGAUGUGGAAUGUGGGGCCGGGAUGUGGUCUGUUGGGGUGGGAUGUGGGCUGUGGGGCCGGGAUGGGGGUUGGGAUUGAGGUCGGGAUGUGGG